AGCAGCCGCGGUAAUUCCAGCUCCAAUAGCGUAUAUUAAAGUUGUUGCAGUUAAAAAGCUCGUAGUUGAAUUUCGGGGUCAGCAAGUUGGUCGUGCCACCGGUAUGCACUGGCUUUGCUGAUUCCUCCUUCUUGUAGAACCGUAAUGCCAUUAAGUUGGUGUUGCGGGGAAACAGGACUGUUACUUUGAAAAAAUUAGAGUGUUUAAAGCAGGCUAAGGCUUGAAUACAUUAGCAUGGAAUAAUGAAAUAGGACGACGAUCCUAUUUUGUUGGUUUCUAGGAUUGACGUAAUGAUUAAUAGGGAUAGUUGGGGGCAUCAGUAUUCAAUUGUCAGAGGUGAAAUUCUUGGAUUUAUUGAAGACUGACUACUGCGAAAGCAUUUGCCAAGGAUGUUUUCAUUAAUCAAGAACGAAAGUUAGGGGAUCGAAGACGAUCAGAUACCGUCGUAGUCUUAACCAUAAACUAUGCCGACUAGGGAUCGGAUGGUGUUAUUUUUAAUGACUCA
rnacentral:rRNA from 1 species